AGUGAACGCUGGCGGUAGGCCUAACACAUGCAAGUCGAACGGCAGCACAGUAAGAGCUUGCUCUUACGGGUGGCGAGUGGCGGACGGGUGAGGAAUACAUCGGAAUCUACUUUUUCGUGGGGGAUAACGUAGGGAAACUUACGCUAAUACCGCAUACGACCUACGGGUGAAAGCAGGGGAUCUUCGGACCUUGCGCGAUUGAAUGAGCCGAUGCCGGAUUAGCUAGUUGGCGGGGUAAAGGCCCACCAAGGCGACGAUCCGUAGCUGGUCUGAGAGGAUGAUCAGCCACACUGGAACUGAGACACGGUCCAGACUCCUACGGGAGGCAGCAGUGGGGAAUAUUGGACAAUGGGCGCAAGCCUGAUCCAGCCAUACCGCGUGGGUGAAGAAGGCCUUCGGGUUGUAAAGCCCUUUUGUUGGGAAAGAAAAGCAGCAGGUUAAUACCCCGCUGUUCUGACGGUACCCAAAGAAUAAGCGCCGGCUAACUUCGUG
rnacentral:rRNA from 1 species